rnacentral:telomerase_RNA from 1 species
UCGCACGACACCUCUCCCUCAGUUCUCCGACUCUCGUUUUCCUCGGAAUGUCUAUCGUAGACCUCUCAGUCAGGGCUGACACCCCGUGAUGCGUCGCACCUCAACCUGAAUCAGGACUUUGAGCUUGCCGCGGAUGGAAUCAUCACGGCCUAUGGUUGUCUAUACCAGACAAUUCAGUCCAGCUGAGAGAACGAGCUUCGGAACUUAACCCUAAGUAUCCUUUUGGUUCAAGUCUUGCGCCCGCAGUCGUCGAAUCUGUCUUUUAAAUCCGCCCGGCUCCUCGAUGAUGGUACUCCGCUGAAAAGCGGUAUCGCACUCGAGGGUCGCGGUGGAUGGACUGGCAGGGAACACAUUCCAGUCACCGUUUGGUGCGCGAAAGGGGGUUACUAUGAGUCGUAUGGGUAAGAGCCUCUGGUCCGAGGCCACUCGUCAGGACCUUUCCGCUGGAACCAGAACUCUGGCCAAGAAUAGGUCGCCCGGAGAAGAUGGCAGACAUGGUUUGCAGGGUCGAGUUGGCAACAAGCUGCUGUCUCGAGGUGUUGCUACGGACAAGUGGAAGGAGCACUGCGUUUGCCACGAACGGUCAACAUCGAAGUUUCAAUCCACCCACAACCUGCCUUGGAUUUGACUCGCCGGUCGUACAACAGUACUGCGAUGUUUCCAGGCCUACAAACAGAAACUUUUCGAUCUGACGAAUCUCAUCGCCACGCUCAGCUCUCGGCGCCCACUUGUUUAGUACACCAGCCCGGGACUCACUCAGCAGCCAGUCGGCUUCUCUCCGAGCCACACCCACGGCAAUUGCCACGGAUGUGACAUGUCCGCAUGUGAUCUGGCCAGGCGCAUCAGCCUCCAGUCGUGGGUUCUGUCCCACGGCACCGGAGGACGCCAAGUCCACGUUGAUCCCGCUGGGAACCAACACUUGCCCGGUGCUGCUCUAGCGAGAAGCACCGGAUGAGAGCGCGAUUUUUCAUGGAUGUAUUUUGUCCGCGCGGAAUGCCCUCCAUUGUGUUUCGAGCACGGAGAGGAAACAAAAACUAGUCCAAGGAGGUCGUGCGAUUCAAACAGAGAGAACUUGCCCCCGAGUGCUUGAGAGUACGCAGACUGGGAUCCAAUUCGCCGAGCUCCGGGUGGCUGUGUAAGUGAAGGUUGUGGCUCGUGAGCGGGAGACAACUCGGGCAACAUACGCAGAGGCUCUGGGUGGGUGGGCUAGACUGGCUGAACAGGUCUGAAGCGAUGCCGGGACCCAUCUCGUGUUGGAGUCAAAGUUUUGUGCUUGUCCGGGAUCGUGGAAGACUUGCACUGUUGGUCUAUUCCCUACCCCCAUGAGCCUCGGCACUCGUUGGACGAAAAAGGGCAGGCCUAUGGAGGGCAGUCCUGGUUGCCAUCUCUCCAGAAAUGGCGAGAUUGGCAACCCC